UACAGAGGGGGCAAGCGUUAUUCGGAAUUAUUGGGCGUAAAGGGCGCGUAGGCGGCCUGCUAAGUCGAACGUGAAAUCCCCGGGCUCAACCCGGGAACUGCGUCCGAUACUGGCAGGCUUGAAUCCGGGAGAGGGAUGCGGAAUUCCAGGUGUAGCGGUGAAAUGCGUAGAUAUCUGGAGGAACACCGGUGGCGAAGGCGGCAUCCUGGACCGGCAUUGACGCUGAGGCGCGAAAGCCAGGGGAGCAAAGCGGG
rnacentral:rRNA from 1 species